GCUUCGAUGGUCUAGUGGUUAAGAGGUUGGGUUGUGGCCCCAGAGGCCCCGGUUUGAAUCCUGGUUGAGGCA